rnacentral:misc_RNA from 1 species
GGAAGGAUCAUUAGAGGUUUUAAAACCAAACACACACUUAAAUACACACCUCAUCUAGCGGGUGGACAGUGGGGGGGGAAACUCCUCUGCUUCCAGGGGUCCUAUGGCCGGUAAGGUGAAAGUUCGAGGGGGCUCUUGGCUCUAGCAAUAGGGUUGGGGGUUCUUUCGGGUGAGUAUCUCGAAAGUUAGGAGAACCGCUAAACCCCAGCAGCGUGUUGAGCUAGUGACGGGUACACUAGCUUUUAUGGUCUAGGGGGACCGCGUCAGGUCACUCCGCCGCAGUGAGGUUAUUCAUCCUAGGGGGAACCGUGCAUGCGCCCCCCGUUCCGGACGAGUACGGAGGUUUACCUCCCGAUAAAUCCCAGGAAGUGGAUGGAAUCGGCAUAGCGAGUCUCUUCACGCUGGUCUGUGAUUUUGUCCUUACCCAUACUUUCCCCAAAUUACCAAAUUACCAAACAUUUUUAACCCUUAAUACAACUCAUAACGGUGGAUGACUCGGCUUCCGUAUCGAUGAAGAACGUAGCAAACUGCGAUAAGUGAUGGAAAUUGCAGGAUACUUCGACUCAUCGAAUCUUUGAACGCAACCUGCGCCCGGGGGUUCUCCUCGGGCGUGCCUGUUUGAGCUCGGUUCCAUCAAAAUCUACAAUCCAUGAAAGUGUGGCUUUUUUUUUUCAGCCGAAUAAAAAAGCUGCGCCGUAGUGGGAGUUGAGGGUUUACCUGCCCAACAAAAAAAAGCGACCAUCUUUUUGGUUGCACCUUUGGUCGCAAGACUGAAGAUUUUUUUUGUUCGGGCGGGGAGUCUAGAGGUUUUUUCCUCUUUUCUCUCCUUUGGGGUAAUCCCUUUAAAUGCUUACAAAUGGGUCAAAAAAGAACCUCACUUUGGCUUCUCUUUUUGUUUUACUGGCGGUUAAAAGUAGGUUAACUAGGUCAGAACUCUCUUCACGGGGGGGGCUGGUUUGGUGUCCGAAAAGUAGCUUUGGGAGGGUGGCCUUCACGGGUUGCCUUUUUGGGGCGAAAAAUUACCGUUAAGCUAGUUGGAACAUAUAUAAGGAGGAGCUUGGCCUUCGAGGCCGACGAGGUGUUGUUGUCUUUUUUGACUCCAUUAACAGAGAGUAGUGGCCGGCGCCUCGCUUAACUCCCCAGAUUGUCUGUAAUUGGGUUUUUUUUUUAAAAAAAAGACCUCGUUUCGGAUGAACCUUUUUUCCUUUCUUUGGGGUAAGCUUAAGUUGAGAAGCGUACGUUCGCUAGGUGUCCCCUUUUUUUCAUGUGCAAAAGAGGGGGGCACGGUAAACUUUCACCGACUCAAAUCAGGCACGAUUACCCGCUGAAUUUAAGCAUAUAAUUAGGCGGAGGAAAAGAAAAUAACAAUGAUUCCCUCAGUAAUGGCGAAUGAACAGGGAUCAGCUCAUCCUGAACCUGUGGGGACUAGUCUCCUCACCGGAAUGUAGGGUGUCGACCAGCCUUAGUGGUCUUCGUCUCUCGCAGAAGUGCCCUGGAAAGGGACGCCACAGAGGGUGAAAGCCCCGUACGCGGUUAUGGAGAUGGAGGUCACGACUUUAGGUUGGAUCGUAGAGUCGAGUUGUUUGGGAGUACAACUCUAAUUGGGUGAUAAACUUCACCUAGAGCUAAAUACCAACGGAAGACCGAUAGCGAACAAGUACCGCGAGGGAAAGUUGAAAAGAACUUUGAAAAGAGAGUUAAAUAGUACCUGAAACCGUUAUGAGGUAAGGGAUCGGCACCAUCGAUUUUGAGUUCCUCUGGCUAUUCAACUCUGGGCUGAGUAGGGUUCCAGGCACCGGGAGUAGCCCUCUGUGGCUUCCCAUCUGUUCGCCUGAUCUGAAGCGGUCUGGGGUGUACUUAGUCAGGGGCUUUUUUUCAGAGUCACUCGGAGGGGGGGCAAGCUUUUCAAGCUGGUCAUUUUAGGAAGCUGGUCUCUGAUCAGUGGAGGGUGAUCAACUGCGGCUUUCCCAACGAGUGAGGGCUCCGAAAGGGACAAGAGUGGGGGUUAUUCUUGGCGAGGGACGGAGUUCACGCUUCUGCCCAAGUCCGGAUCCCACUCUCGAUCUCUGAACUUUUAGAUGGAAUCGAUCCUCCCGUCUUGAAACACGGACCAAGGAGUGCACUUGAUAGGCGAGUCUUAGGGUUGUUAAAACCCGAGGGCGAAAUGAAAGUAAACACACACCUGAAGCCCGUAAGGGAACUGCAAGGUGGGCCCACAUUGUCUUACGAGGCAGUGUUGGAGCAAGAGCCUAUCGCGUGCGACCCGAAAGGUGGCGAACUAUGCCCGUGUAGAACGAAGCCAGAAGAAAUUCUGGUGGAAGUUCGUAGCGGUAUUGACGUGCAAAUCAUUCGUCAAACACGGGUAUAGCGGCGAAAGACUAAUCGAGCCGCCUAGUAGCUGGUUCCCUC